rnacentral:lncRNA from 1 species
GCUAGGCGAGGUCUUCCUCCUACCUGCUCUGGACUCGGGCUUUUCUCGUACAAAUAGCCCCCCCCUUCUCUUCUCUGGCCAGCGCCCCCACCCCUCCUCCUCCCUCCCCGCGCACACUCCGGCUCCUCGCUCCCUCCAGGUCCCAGUGCCUACAGCUUCCGUGGCUGGGUAGUCCGCACUGGAUCGCUUGCUCCCUGCACCACACGCAUUCACAGAGACACGGACCACAGGUCCAGCUGAACUUACCACAUGCAGCCCCACCUGAGGACUACAGCAUCAGGGCAAGGGGUUCUGGUAUCUUUGUCCAAGUAGUCAAACCAUGUGCCUAAUGCCUCAGCAGCUGUUAAUAACCCACCCUCCAACACCAGGUGGUUAAGGCCUUCCCUAGAGAAACUGACAUCUACAGGACAAUAUAGCAACCCUGAGCUCUUCCUUUUGGAAUCCAGAUCCACAAGGACAGAAAGACUGAUGUGCUGCUGAUACCUGCUUCUAUUACAAUGCCUUCUGCAUGGAUUAUCAUUAUUAAUUGCUAGAGUGAUUUUGGAAUUUCUACAAAGUUUGGUUUUCAUUUCCAUUGGCUUUAAAAGAACAAAAGGUAAGCAAGAAUGUAACUUUAGUAAAGUUAUAAUCUCAUUCAGAAUACAAGUCUUUCUUCAUUUCAAAAUUUAAAAAAAAUUAUUAGAAGUUGGCUGGAAUAAGAAACUAUAAAAAUGAGCAGACAUCCACACGUAACUUUAUUUUAGUCAAAACGGCCUAUUAAGGGUAUCCCUUAAAUUAGGCAUUUGAGUCUCUUUGUGCCUGCCUGGAUUGGAUUCUUCUCACCUUGGUUUCGAAUUCUUAGCUUCUUUCCUGGUGUGAUUCAGGUGACACUUCCUACUCAAAACCUUUCCUUACUCCCCCUCCCCCUCAAGUUGUUAGUGUCUCUCCCUCCUCAUAUCAUCUCAUAUUUACUCAUCUAUGUACAUGCUCCCAGUAGAACGUUAAGCUCAUUGAGGGCAGAGAGUUUCUUUUCUUUCUUUUUUUUUUUUUGUCUUUGUAUUUGUGUUCCUAGCAUCUGGCACAGGACACAAAGUAGAUGCUUAAUAAAAGUUUAAAAAGAAAGGAAAAAAUAAUGUAG